AACUACUCUCGGCAACGGAUAUCUCGGCUCUCGCAUCGAUGAAGAACGUAACGAAAUGCGAUACUUGGUGUGAAUUGCAGAAUCCCGUGAACCAUCGAGUCUUUGAACGCAAGUUGCGCCCGAAGCCAUCAGGUUGAGGGCACGUC
rnacentral:rRNA from 1 species